rnacentral:rRNA from 1 species
GGCGUGCCUAACACAUGCAAGUCGAACGGAGUUUUGUGAGGGAAGUCUACGGAUGGACGUUAUAAAACUUAGUGGCGGACGGGUGAGUAACGCGUGGGCAACCUGCCGUAUACAGGGGGAUAACAACUGGAAACAGCUGCUAACACCGCAUAAGCGCACGGUACCGCAUGGUACCGAGUGAAAAUCUCCGGAGGUAUACGAUGGGCCCGCGUCUGAUUAGCCAGUUGGUGGGGUAACGGCCUACCAAAGCGACGAUCAGUAGCCGGCCUGAGAGGGUGGACGGCCACAUUGGGACUGAGACACGGCCCAAACUCCUACGGGAGGCAGCAGUGGGGGAUAUUGCACAAUGGGGGAAACCCUGAUGCAGCGACGCCGCGUGAGUGAAGAAGCAAUUCGUUGCGUAAAGCUCUAUCAGCAGGGAAGAAGAAAUGACGGUACCUGAAUAAGAAGCCCCGGCUAACUACGUGCCAGCAGCCGCGGUAAUACGUAGGGGGCAAGCGUUAUCCGGAUUUACUGGGUGUAAAGGGAGCGUAGACGGCAGUGCAAGUCCGAUGUGAAAACCCGGGGCUCAACCCUGGGAGUGCAUUGGAAACUGUACGGCUGGAGUGCAGGAGAGGUAAGCGGAAUUCCUGGUGUAGCGGUGAAAUGCGUAGAUAUCAGGAGGAACACCAGUGGCGAAGGCGGCUUACUGGACUGUAACUGACGUUGAGGCUCGAAAGCGUGGGGAGCAAACAGGAUUAGAUACCCUGGUAGUCCACGCUGUAAAC